rnacentral:rRNA from 1 species
UACGUAGGGGGCAAGCGUUGUCCGGAUUUAUUGGGCGUAAAGAGCGUGUAGGCGGCCCGACAGGUCCGUUGUGAAAACUCGAGGCUCAACCUCGAGACGUCGAUGGAAACCGUCGGGCUAGAGUCCGGAAGAGGAGAGUGGAAUUCCUGGUGUAGCGGUGAAAUGCGUAGAUAUCAGGAGGAACACCGGUGGCGAAGGCGGCUCUCUGGACGGUGACUGACGCUGAGACGCGAAAGCGUGGGGAGCAAACAGG